rnacentral:lncRNA from 10 species
UCCCUCUUGGCAAUCGCUACCUGUGAUGACACACAAAGCGGGAAACUACAUCCCAGCAGCUACAAAUAAUAGCAAGCAAUCUUUUGAACUAUUUGCCUUGAGGAAAGGCUAAAAAGUUAUUGAGUCGUGAGUGCAGUUUGCCACGUCACGAUGUAUUUCCCACUGUUUUCUUAGGCUAUUUUCUUUGCCUCCUUUAAGAUAUUUUCUGGAAACUUUUGCUGAACGGUAGCCAAUUGUGAGCGAAAGCUUCUGUAACCAUUCUCUUGCUGAAAGUAACUCGGAGAUCUCAUUUUGCCACAUGGAAGACAGCAGACUCUCUACUUCUCUUCCCUUAGGUCACAAUGGCCUAUAGGAUAUUGCUUUUAGAAGCAAUGCUAUAAGGAACCCUUUUUCUUGCACCAGUAGGAGGAAGAAAAAUGGAACUAAAAAGGGAAAACAAUAGCAACAAAGAUCAAAAUAAAUAACAAGGAAGCGGAGAGAAGAAAGAACAUGGUGAAGAGAGUGAAACGCAUUGUCAUUUGGGGUGAAUUGCAGAAAGAAAUAAAUUAUUGUUCUUAUAUAUAAGUGAGAUCAUGCAG